rfam:Marine metagenome 1092402536626, whole genome shotgun sequence.
GAUAACCAAGAAUAACCCUUGGAUCUAAAGUUGGAUUUACAAGUCUAACUUCUCCACCACCAGGUGCCCAUGUGUCAUAUGCACCGCCAAUAAAACACCAGUUCACUGACCAUGCUAAUGCACCUACACCUAAAACAAUCAAAUGAUAUCCAAGGAUAUUAGUCAUUUGAUUCUUAUCUCUCCA